CCCCCCACCCGCGGCGCGAGCGAGCGAACGCAACAAAACAAAACAAACUCGUGCCGGCUUCCUGUUGUGCAACCUCUUUCUGAGCGGGGUGUUGGAAGGAGGGUGGACUUUGGAAUCAGAAAACCUGGAAAUCUCAAUUCCACUACUUACUCCGAAGACGAGAGGUUGUACCCUGGCCCAUUGAGGACUUCAGUUCUGCUACCUGAGGCUUUGUAAAGAGCAGGGCUCCAGGGAGCUUGUGAUUUGAUCAGUGAGCAUGGUGGCUAGAUAUCAGAACUGCUUACAAGUUUUUCAGGUCUCCAGCAGAAGGUGUGGCCCAGAUUAAAGGUGUGGACCACCACACCUGGAUCUGGGACUUGCUUUAUCCCAGAUGACCUUGAACUCAGAGAUCUCCUUGCCUUAGUCUCCUGGGAUUCAUAGCCACUAUGCCUCAAGAUCUCCAGGCCAAGAUCUAGGUCAGAAACUUCUCUCUCUCAGCCUCAAGAUCUGGAUCACAUGUAUGAAAAGACUUCUGUUGGAAGCUACCAAGUGGCACUGUAAGAAGAGACACCAUCUUAUCCUGGUUGUUUAUAUUAGUUCUCUAUAGGUUCUGUGACAAAGUCUGAUAGACUGCUGACUUCAGACAACAGUAUACAUCUUCUUUCAGCUCAAGAGGCUGAUUUACUCCAAGGAUUUCUCAUGCCCUUUGGAGUCCUAUCCUGUCCCUAAUUAGUCUAGUAGAAACUCUGAAAUCCCACCUUUGUCUAAAUAUCUUAAAACAGAACUCCCACAAAGGAAGACAUAUCCCAAAUCAAUAUCAUAGAACAGACAUGCCUUGCUAGAAGUCCUCUGUCACCCUUGAGACCUUUCAUCCUCAAACCUGAUAUUCUGAGGCAAAGAUUGUGCUCUGACUCUCAGCAUCUGUUAUUGACUUCAACUUCUCUGUGGAAGAAUCCCUCCAAUGGUUUAGUUGAGUACAAGACUAUACAGCUAAAGACAGGAUAUAAUAAUACAUAAUAUAAUAUACAUUCAUAUAUAAUAAAAAUUAUUCCUUUUUGCCUGAUAGCUGGAUAUGAUCUUUUUAGGAAAUGUAUUGAAGCAUAUGCUAGACACUAGAUGCUGUAUUCUGAACCUUAUUCACAGCAGUAUCAGUAUCUGUGGAAUGGACAUCUCUUUAUUAUUGUUGGGGUUAUCAGGAGGCUCCUGGGUCAUGUCAGUAAUUUUGUUUUCUUGCUUAUGUUUACAGUUUCAUGGGUCCUCAGUUGUGUGACUUUUCCUGGGGCAACAGAAACAGACAUCCAUCAACUUACUCUAAAAUAUGGCACCAACAAUGGACC
rnacentral:lncRNA from 1 species